rnacentral:misc_RNA from 1 species
GAAAGAAAAAACUAAGAGAUCGAGGAAAAGGAAUAAUAAUAGAAAGAGAAAGGCCAAUGGAACCCCCCAAGAGAAAGGUGAAGAUAAGCAAGUUCAAAAGAAAGUAGCCUCUAUUGGCAAGGGUGAGAAAGACUUGGGAAAAUUAGUCUCCAAAGCUGUUGAGCCAAGCUCUAAGAAAGUGGCUUAUGAAGACAAGUCUAGGGUGGCCCGUAAGGAUAUUGAUCUUGAAGGCAAAGACAAACCCGAGUCAUCAAGAAAGAAGUCUUCUGCAAAGAUGAAGGCUAAUAGUAUGGGUAUGAUCUUCAUAUGCAACUCUGAGACUAAAAAGGAUUGCUAUCGUUACAAGGUUCUAGGAUUGCCAGCAAACAAGAAAGAGACCGUGGAAAAAAUUUACAAGGGG